GGUGGUAUAUUAUAGAGGUAAGAAGCUUUGACUUUAAAAUCAGCCAGACCUGAGUUCAAAUCCCAGUUUCACUG
rnacentral:tRNA from 1 species